rfam:Biomphalaria glabrata isolate BB02 unplaced genomic scaffold LGTN_random_Scaffold548, whole genome shotgun sequence.
GAUACUAUGGCUGAGCGGUAAAGCAUUUGGCUUCUGAACCGGGGAUCCCGGGUUCGAAUCCUGGUAAAUCC